rnacentral:rRNA from 1 species
UACGUAGGGGGCAAGCGUUGUCCGGAAUCAUUGGGCGUAAAGAGCGUGUAGGCGGUUCGGUAAGUCCGCUGUGAAAGUCCAGGGCUCAACCCUGGAAUGCCGGUGGAUACUGCCGGGCUAGAGUCCGGAAGAGGCGAGUGGAAUUCCUGGUGUAGCGGUGAAAUGCGCAGAUAUCAGGAGGAACACCUAUUGCGAAGGCAGCUCGCUGGGACGUAACUGACGCUGAGACGCGAAAGCGUGGGGAGCAAACAGG